CAUUCGGUCGGCCUUAUACACGGCUGACCGAAUGUUCCAGUUUUACCAUAGUACCGGGCUGUUAUUGAAAUCGGUUGUUUACAUUUCUAGAAGCUUCUAUCUGCCUCUCGGGCAUUAACGGGGUAGCCCCUGUACAGAUAAACGCCUUUCUUUGUAACUGCGCAGUAAAGAUGGCGCUGAGAAGUAUGUGGGCGGAGCUAGGUGGGUGCAUCAAUUCGUAUAAGACGAUGCAAUGCUGUAACUCAUCCACCAUUGCUCCUCCCACAUUCCUUCCUCGGCGGCCAUCUUUAUUGCGCAGUUAAUAAACCAGCUAUGCCCUACCAGCGUAGAAUAGCUUAUUGUAGCUAUCUUGCAAACGCUUUUCUGGGGUGAAACUAGUUUUUUAGUAUUAAUCUACAGUUUUAGUUUACAAAAAUUAUAGAAAUAUUAGCAAUAGCAAAUUAGAGUCUCAGACCAGUAGAUAGCUCAUGUUGGCGAUAACGCGUUGCAGGAUAUUAAAGACUGGAAUAGCUGUGCAUGGCAGUUGGCAUCUGUUUGUUGUUUAUAAAGCGACACUAAACUUUUUGUUUAUAAAGCGACACUAAACUUUUUCUUUUAAUUUUUUUUAUUCCACCUUAGAAGUACCAUGGCUUUAAUUUUUUAGCUUGGCUUCACUAGUGCCGUCUAAUCAGGUUUGUAGUUUUUUGCUUUAUUAUUCAGGUUGUGUAUUUUAUUUCAACAUUUUUAAAACUGCUUUCCUUUAUAUUGUAAAGCACUGGGUAGAUGUACAGUUACAAUUUAAGGGGGGUUUGGAGGGCUCUGCUCAGAAGAGCUUACAAUCUAAUAGGGUCGGACAAAAGGUAAAAGCUGGGGGGGGCGAGCUGAUGGAGAAAAAUAAAAGCUCAGUAGUUGGGUGGAGUUGGGAUAGGAGUCCCUGAAGAGAUGUUUGAGGGUCACUUCACACUGACUCGUGCUAAGAUGUCUGUCCACUUAGUCAUUUUUAAUGCGCAGUGAUGUCAGUUUAGACAUUUCAGCACAAUAGGAAUGGUGUGAAUAGGACACUGGAAAUUAUUUUUCAGCCGUGUUUUACAGCUGCACUGAUGUGAAUUGGCCCCCCAGGGAUCAUCUAAAGAUGGCCUGAGUAGGUGCAUGAUAUUUUAGUAGAAAGGGGAGGAUGGGUCUUGUACACAACUUUGUCAAAUACAAUCAGAAUGCAUUUUAAAUGCGUUUUCCAUGUGUUAGCGUUGAAGUCUGUGGCUGUGCUGUCCCUUUUUUCAAAUAUCACACAGCACCAUAUUGCUUUGAUGUGAAUGCUGUCAUCCAUAAUGGAAAUCCUAUGUAUGGUACCCAGACAAAGAAAAAUGACCCUAGUGUAAAUGGGGGGGCUUGAAGGCUUUUUUAUUUUUCAAACUUUUGUUUGUCCCUAUCUGCUGAUGUAAUGCAAGUUGGCGUAGGGCAGGCUAUGCCAGGAUUUCUGGUCACUUGAAUGCCUCUAUGCGUAUUACAAUACCCAUAGAGCGGAGGGUCUAGCUGUAUAAUCAUCUUGUGGAAGGCCAGCAAAGGGUGGCUACAUUAACGUAUUGCUGGGCAUUCUCUUGCAAACACAAGCUUUUCUUUCUGGAAUUCUAACGGAAAAGAGAAGAGGCAGUCUUGCAUUUAAACAUAUUGGAUCACAUUUUUAUCAAGAAGUUUAGUGUCAUUUAAAGAAGCUGGUUACUAUGCACAGCUACUGCUGUUUUUAUGAAUUCCCUCUGUACCGCUUUAUUUAAGUUUGCCUUUUGUAAUACACAAUUAAUCUUCGUAUUUUACUAAAGGGGUAGGUGGUGCUUGGAAUGGACUUCCAGCAGAGGUAGUCGGUUAACAGUAAAUGGCAUCAAACCUUAAUCUAUUCUAGAAAAAAACUUAAACAUGUAUGGAUAGAUAAAAGCGGACACUGCUUGGGUUCUUUAUUACUGCAUUAUAUUUCCAUGUGGGAUGUACAUGAAAAGCUAUGCCCAGAAUCUAUAGCAGUUGGUAAAAUGGUGAAUUUAUACCACAGCGUACAUUAUUUAAGCAGUCUGUGAAUGCACUAUUCUUAUUCAGGAGCGCUAAGAUGGCCGAUCAUGUGUCAUGCUUGCUUGGAAGAACUAUUGUUUGUUGAAUCAAUGUACCUAUGGACUUGUGCAAAAAGGACUAUUCCAUCAUAAAGGACUGAUCAUGUGAAAGAUCUACAGCAUGAAGUUGUGGAGACCAACUUGCGUUUUGACCAAACGUGGCAUGAUGAGGAUCCAACAGCUGUGUAACCCGGUUCAUUUUUUUUUUUUUUUUUUUAAGGAAGUCUCUAAUUUGUAUUUUUUAUCCUGUAGUUAACAUCCUUUUAAAAUGUUUAUCACCAUUUCUAAAUUAUCUAGUGAUAACAGGAUUCCUACUGGGGGGGAGUUGUGUAAUAUUUUUUUUUUAAUCUCUUUCCUAGGUUUAUGUUCAUAAUUGUAACUCAUUCCACCCUAGACCUCCACCUUACACCAGACACCCUUGUUGCAAGUUGUUCUGGAGUCUGGUAACAUGCAAAUAUUUGUAUGUUUAUUCCUAUCAGCUUAGAGCUUCUUAUACUUCAUAUCACAUCCUGGGGAAGAUACCGCAUCCUUAGGUGGCCAGGUGCAGCGUUUUGGUAAGCAAGAGAGCGAUCCCAGAGUUUUUGGGUGUCAAGAAAUAGCCAAGCAUUCUCUAUCUGGUAAGAAUACUUUAAUGGAGUGUCUCCCCCUCAAAUGAAAAAGCAACAUCCAAAUAUAAACUACCCACUAUACACAAAGUAUCUAAUCUAGAAUCUCAGUGUAAGUCCUUAUGGAUUUUUCCAUUCAAUAUUAUGUUGAACUAUAUUUUUGGAAGUCUUGUAAAUUCUACAUAGCAACUCCAGUUCAAAUGCAGGACUGGUAACCCAUUAGUCUCAAUGUUCCUGCAGGAAGUUAAACUCAUGGAUGCUAUGCCAAUAAGAACUGCCCUUAAAUGUGGUAUAUUUAUACCUUGGGUAUUAAGCUCACUAUGCUAGAUGGUUAUAUUACCUGUAGACUUUCCAGUUCAACAAAUGGUAUCGUUAACUUGGCAUUACUUUAUUUGCCCUAGUUUACUUGUACUGUUACCAUCCACUAGUUAACCAGUCCCUUUAAGCUCCCAAAUUCAGCCAAAACACGAGCACAGUAUAUGUAUAAAGUUGCCAUUGUGACAAGUUUGGAUUUUCUUUCUAGGCAUUUUAUCUGUGUGGUUUUCUGGUGACUCUUCAGAAAAUUGCUUUAAGAGGUUUUCAAGUAAGAUCUUUCCUUGCUGUUUUUGUAAUUUGUAACCCAUGUGAUUCAUAAUUUUUGCCAUUUUAUGUGAUUGUACAAAUACUUUUUUCUGAAUUAAAAUUUUUACAGAUGAAUGUCUUGUUUCAACAUCUUUGUUAAAGGUCAUGUGCAAUGUGCUCAGAGCUGUUUGUCAGACAUUGAAGUGGGCCGGACAAAAACUGCAGUAUUCCAGAACCCCCAGAGUACUUUAUUCUGCAAAGGUUAUGUUAAGUACAGUGUUGGUUACAUUUCUAAUAACAAACUUCUCGUCAAAACGGUGAACCUUGCUUUUGUGGACAGGCUUUCCUCCGAAUAUUAUAUUUCCUCUGAGUGAGGAUGUUUACUUGUGAAAACUUCUGGUUUAAUUUUGUAGGGCAGGUUACUCAGUCUCAAGGAGAAGAAAACAAGGGUAUUAUCAGCUUCUCUGGCAGAUGAGUACUAAAACGUCAACCACAAGUCUGCAUGUUCAAUGGACACCAACAACCACACCAUCAGUUAUAAGUAUUGCUGAAAUUUUACAUCAAAUCAUAGUGGGCCACUUUCAUCAAAAUAAGUAAAUGUGAAGCGAGCUUAAAGGGUCUACUUUUUUGCUUACUGGUGGGCUUAGAGCCCCUGUCAAAUUAACUAUUAUGCAGGUUUUUUGUUUUUGUUUUUUUAGAAACUUUUCCUAUUUCAGGGACCACCUUUUCACAAAAGUGAAAAACUGAUAAUGUUUAAAUGGGGAGGGGGUGUACUUAGUGUUUAGGGCCCUAUUGUGUUCCCAGAACAGGAAGUGACAGAAUCCUUUAAGCAGUGCCAAACAGAAAACCUACGUUUUUUACUUCUAAUGUUUCUCCACCCUAUCAAAAAUUGCCUUAAGCAAUUCCUCUGUAGUUGCUCCCAUUUAAGUCCCCAAAACAUUGGGUUUUAUAUGUAAUGCUCUAACAUUGUGGCCUUUUUGUUUACGUAUAACAAGCCUGCAGACAAAAUUCAUGCCUUUGUUUUUUCCUCCCCAUUCCCGUUCUCUACUUGGUCCUAAAAGCGGAGUCUUGCCCCAACUGUGGCCCGUUCUGCCCAGGCGAGAGCUUUUCACAUAGGAAAGAACUUAUUACAUCGCAGAAAUGGUAUGGCUCGACUUUAGGUAGUGGUAAAGGUAUGGCCAGGGGAAUGGAUCAUGCAAAUGAUUUACUGCAUGUACAUACAAAAGUGUGCUUAUUCAAAUCAAAAGCAUGCCAUUUUGUACAAAAACUUGCUGCUAUUCUGUUCUGCAAGGUUUUUAUGCAUAUCAGGGGCACUGCUCAGCUUAACAACCUGAGUAAUGCCCCAAGACUGGCAUCUAUAGGGGGAGUUUUAUGGUUUUUCCAUACAAAUAUUAAAAACUGCUUUCAUUUUUGCUACUCUAGAAAAAAAUCUGCCUGCUGUGGUACACUGUGUGGUCUUGGCAGGAUUUCAAUCGCCCCCUGAGCGACAACAAUUUAGGCUAAGUCAAUGCGUUCCUCUGCUCUCCAAGGCACAGGCGAUCUAGAACAGGCUGAAGAAUCCAGGUAUCAAGUUGUGUACGAGUAACGAACAUAACUGUCUCAAAGAAUGUCUGCAAACAGUUGAGUAAUCCCAUCCCUGCCCUCUGGGGUUGCGUGAGGGGAGAAGCUGCUUGAGGAUUUCGCUGACCUUACUGAAGCAAGAUGGACCCAGUCUUGGCAGUUUGAUCAGAUCAGCUGUCAGGAAACCAACAGCGUCACUGGAUGGAUCACCACUUCCUGUCCAUCAGAGGCGAUAACGCUCCUGCAGUAUUGGGGGCUGCUGGCCUAGUGGUGUCGCCUGAAACUGGCAAGAUCAACAGGUAAAUCAACACUGACACCACUAUAAAAAAAAUGCUCAAUUACGCUCAAGGCAACACAAACAUACAAACUUCUAGUAUUUUUUUGGUUUAUUGCACAAAUUCAGACACUGUGAAGUGUCGUCCACUUUCAUUGUCGCCUCUAUUUUCAUGUUUGCAGUGUCCAAAAUAAGACUGCGCCAUCCAGUAUGUACUGAGCUGUGCCAACUGGCCAGUGCCUGUCAACUGACCCGGUUGGACCCCCAUUCCUCAGCAAUGCUAAGUUUGUUGGAGGAACGCUUUCCUGCCAAGAAAAGGGUAUUUAGAGCAUUUCAAAGUGAAAAUCCAGUAAAUUAAUAUGGUGCUACAAGACUAUAAAGAAAACAACAAGGUGUGGUGUAAAUUCAGAAUCAGUAAGUACUCUAAUGGUUUCUAAACUGCAUGUAAACACGAAAGUAUUGACCUAAUUAAUAUACUUGGCUUUUUGACAAACUGAUGUGUUCUGUCAAGUAAGCACAGUCCAGCCACCAGCACAUGUUGGGCACUUAAUCUUGCAGCCAUUAAGGAUAAGUGCUACAAACCACUGUGUUAACACUUUACUAAUUGGGGAUGUAAUUCCAGACAUCCUUUCUCCAUGUUACUGGGCAAAGCUGACACCAGUGAGGGGAGUGCAUGGUCAUGGAGGCUGAUUAUACCUUUACCUCCCAUGUAAUCAUCUACUUCUAUUGUUGUCAAAUGAAACCUAUGCCCCCAAUCAUUCCUAGACAGCAACUUUUCUAAAUCCAAGUAAAAUAGAAUUUGCUUUUGUUGUGGACAGCAUUUUGAUGGGGAACUUUUUUUAAUGCAUGUUUUGGGAUUUUCUACUGUAUUGCCUACUGUUGCAAGCAAUGUAACUAGGCAGUUCAGCCUAAUGCUUAGUCAGUCUACUCUUUACAUUUCAGUUUACCCAAAGUGAUGAUACUUCUAAGUAGCCUUCCUGCUGGGUUGCUUGAGGUGGAAAACAUGGCAAACAAGAUUUCCAGUUUGUUCAUGAAAAGUCCAAUGUAUGUAAGUACCUCCAAAGUAGGAGGAAAACCCCAUCAAAGCCAGAUUACACUAUAUAACCACUUCUGUAUGCCAUAUUACUUAUUAUGCUGUAUGGAGGGAUGUGGGUGCAAAGUGCAUGGAUACAUUGUAGCGGGUUAUAGUGCUAGAGCCUUUCCUGCUGCUACAACUGUCCAUAGUAAGAGAAAAUGAUGCAGGCUCAGCAGAGGAAGUGCUAACUUGUCAAUGUACAGAUUAGUAUGUGGCUAAACAUUCAAGAAUCUUGACUAUAAACAGGCUUCUUUAUCCCUGAAUAGGCUAAUGAGUGUAUAGAUUUGAUGCCAUGUCAGCAUGUGGCUAAAGUUUCUGGCAUCAUAAGCUGGUUUCCUGUGGCAUAUGCACUUGGACAGUACUCUACCUAAAGUGGAACUGCACAUCAUCUGAGCACUGCAAAAUAUAUUCAUUUUUAAUAGAUGGUUAUUUCCCCCUCCGUCCAUGUUUUCUCUCUAUUUUGUUGAGAUAUCAUAUUGGGGGGGGGCCCCCCCAGUAUUUCUGGCUGUGGCCAUCUUGAGUUAAGGGCAGAUCAUUUAGGCUUCACACAGCGUGUGAAUCUUGGAAGAAAGAGACAUGGGUUAGAGUUGUAAUAAGGUAACCCCAAUGUACAGCAUGCAUAUGAGAGAUCUCGUGAUAGUAAGUGGGAAGUCCCAUCUUUGCUCUUUUGUGCAAAUUUAUGAAAACACUAGAAGGGAAGGUUGUCUAAAAUUGUGUUCAUUGAGGAAAAAUUAUAUCACUUUGUAAAUUUAUACACACGACAAAGGGUCUCAUUUGUGUGAAACCUUAAUUUUUAUUUUAUUUUGUCUACAAAAACCAUGAAAUAUUUCUGAAAUGAAAAUUGGGUACAAAUGUCUAUAAAUAUGGAUAUGCUCAUCAAACCGGAUGCUUAGUUUGUAAAAUAACUGACUAAAAAAAAGGCUGAAUUUCACAAAAAAAAAAGCAUGUAUGUGUUGGAAGGCUCAUUUGCAUGGAACUGGAUUGUGUUGGAUUGUCCAGUCCUUAAAACUUAACUUCCUUCACAUAGCCCUGCUUGGCAGCAGAGAAGACUUUUUUUUUUUUUUUUUUUUUUCUUGCUCUGCUCUUUCCUCCUUUGCAGCAGCACAACUAAUUCACUCCUUGGGCUGCCGUCUCCUGCACAGGCUGAGCUCUGCUCUACUGGGACUGCACAAGGAUGAGAGCAGGUCUGAUUUAGUCAGACAACACAUGUAAGGUUGUAUUAAUGAAUAUGGUGCUGCGUUCUGAAAUCACAAGUUUUUGAUUAUGUUUUUAACCACUGUGAAAUAUGACACGAAACCAUGCAUAAAAGUUAGUGCGUGAUUGGAUCAGGUACAAAACUACCAUACCUAAAAACGUAGCACACUCCAGACAGCAGUCUGCAACAACGCCUAAAGGAUGCAGCACUUCAUUGGCCAAAUGGCUGUAAAAAUUAUUCGCUCACAAAAAGGUCAAGGUUCUUUUUACCAGAUGAAAACACUUGUUCUGUUUGGGGGGAGAGCAGUUGUUAAUGCAUAGAGGGGCAUGUUGUGCUUUAUUACAGCAUGACUGCUACAAGGGUGCUUUUAUCCAAAGAUAUUGCUCAAAAUGACAAUCAUAAAUGUUCUAAAACCUUUGCUAUGCUUCUGAUUGGAAGAGCAGAGGAUGUUCAGUGGUUUUGAGAUGGUAGUCUAAUUACAUCAAUGAUUUACACCACAGUAGAUGGCUUUCAGCCAGUUGUGUCACACAUGACUGUUAGGGGGUUUAUUUCAUGUGUUUUAGAAACCUGCAAUACCAUUAUAAACGACAAGAACUCAUCCACCCGUGUCAAACUAUACAAGAAUUCGUCCAUCUGAAAAAUGUAAGUGGAACUACAAAAACCCAAAACCUCGAGAUAUAAAAGUGUGGUAUUAACAAAUUUCCUUAAAAAAACCUUGCAUUAAAAAACGAUUUCAUUGUUAAAUGAGCCUUCAUUAACUCAUUAAAAGAUUUCCUUCAAUAUACUUCUAUGUGUACAUUGAGAUGGUUAAACCCUUUGACAAGUCAUUGCAAAUAAAAAGAAUGUUGGUGGGUGUAGGAAAGCUUGCAUCUGGUCUGCAUUGUCUACCUUUAAAUUUUUGUUUAAUAAAAAUUAUAUAUUGGUGAUAAAUGGACCACACGCUAAUACACUGGCACAUGGCACAGAUGUUUUAUAAAUACAGUUGUUGAGGUUCAGCCAUAACAUUUCCUAAUAACUCCUAACAGCUUGCGGCAGAUGAAUUAUUCAUGCAAUCUCAAGUCCCUGCAGAAGACUUGAAGCCGGUAAACUCUGUAGUUCUAUGCUGUCAAAGGAAACUACAGUACGUUUCUAUUGUAUCUUUAGGUUAUUCUACAGCUACCAUAAAGACGCAGUGACAUUUGGAGACCAUUUCAUGAAUGAUGGUGCUUUGCUUAGAAUUACAGGUGAUCUGUAUUUGAUUCUAUAAUCAGUUUAUUUUAAUUUUUUAUUUUAAAUCUUCAUUAUUUUACCAUACUUUUUAAGUUAGUUGAGAUUACCUAUAUUGUCUAAUGUGACGAUCUUUUGGUGGUGCUAAUUAUCUUUUGUAUAUCUUUCCAUUUUCCAGACCUAAGGGACGUUUUUGAAGCCCCUUCGGUGUCUGCCCUUAUUUUUAUCUCCUAGUAGUGCACCAUUUUGGUCACUGGUAUAAAAAAUAUUUCCUUAACAACUGAAAUUAUUUCUAGGUGGGGAAGUGCUACUCAUGUACUACAUCUACUGUUUGGAUGUCUUUCAGAGAUGUUUUUCCAGCAAUUUUGGGGAGCUGUAAGAAAUUCUGGCCCGGUUUGUGGUUUUCAGAAUGCAUAGGGAAACAUCUCAGCCACAGUGAAACACAACUGUGGGAUGAGGAAUGGACAAGACAUAAAUGCGCGAAUAAUUUGGGGGCUGUUUUUGGAAUGUUCUUAUUUCUCAACAGUACCUAGCCACUAUCAAGAUGGCUUAUCCAUGGAGAAUCUCGGUACCUCUGCAGAAGCAUUUUGAAGCUUGGACAGUUCCCAUGUAUUUUGGAUGUUCUGUCUCCUUUUCCCUGUUUUUUUUUUUUAGACCUUAGAAACCUUCCUGGUGCCCUUCCAGUAUGUCCAUUAUCGGCAUUCUAUUUUCUCUUCUGUAUGAUGAGUUAGUCACAAUUUCCUUGACUUGUGGUGGCAAAUUAAUACAUUUUGGGUGGGAAAAGCAGACUUGUUUUCUGGAUUACUUGAAGAUAUCGCAACUAGCAAAAGUUCCUGAAAGAUAAGUCAAACAUCUCUUGUUCUUCAGCUUAGGUAUUCUGAUUCUGAUUCCAAUUUAUCUCAAUGUUUUUCAUCGUGUGCUGGGAAACAUGAGGUGAAAAAUGGAGCACAACAGCAGGUUUUUUUUUUCUUUGUAUGGAUUUUUAUAGUUUAUGGCUGAUAGCAAGAUGGGUUAUCGGAAAAGCACAUCACCCCUGCAGAAGACUUGUGAAGCUUGCAGUCUCCACUCUUUUGUAAGACCCACAGAAGAUAAACAGUAUAUAUGCAUGGUUAGUGUCAACAAUUCGUCAUUCACAUACAGCUGACCAAAUACCAUUAUAAUGAUCUGUGGAUUCCUACAUUGUAGUUGAUCAGGAGGUAAUUUCUUUUAAAUUCCUAUUCCAGCAUCUCAUUUUGUGGCUUUGUACAAUUGAUCAGAUGGCUGAUUUUUCUUUUCCCUGUUGGUCCUGACAUUUCUUUUAUUUUUUACUACCCAUGUUUGUUUUCCCAAAUAUUUAUUUAUUUUUUAUCUUGGGAUGCUCAGUUUCUGUCCAGUUUUUUUUGUUUUUUUUCCCAACCUUAUUUAUCUUUCAGACUUUAGAACCAUGCUUGGAAGUCAUUUCAGAAUAUUAUCCACCACUAUUUCAUAUUUUCCAAUGCACCCUUUCUCACUGGGAUAACCAUUAGCAUUGUCUUGACAAGAGGUGGGGAAAUCAAAUAAUUUUUGGGUGGGAAAAGGAUAGUUUACUUUUGAAUUUAUUUUGCAGAUGUCUUUAAAUAUGCACUUUUUUCUGAGACAAGUUGGGGGACUCCUUUUUUGGUGAGUUUGAAAUUAUCCUGUCCCCCUUUUUAUCUGCGCCUUUAGAAUGCAUUGGGGAGCUUUUGAGGAGAUUAAUGGAAGACACAUGGGAUCCAAGUACAAUGGUAGAUGCUGUGUUUUUGAAUGGUUAUAUGGUGGGUGGAUGGGAUAUCUUUCUGAAUUGCUUCAACAGAUCUUGGCCGAUGGAUGGAUAUAUUGUGGAUGGAUAUAAUAUUGUGACAAUCUUGCCACCUCUGCAGAAGACUUCUGAAGCUUGGAAAGUCAUCUUGUACUAUAUAUAGGUUUGGCCAAGGCAUUACAAAAAUAUAUUUGUAUGGCUAAUGUCAACAAUUCAUUAUUUCCAGCUACAAGGAUCGCAUAGGGAUUACCUGUGAGGGCCACCGUGUAAUUGCAUAGGAGCUACUUUGAUCAUAUAUAUAGGCCUGGUCAGAUUUUUUUUUUUUUUCUUUCUAACCUUUUUUAUAGGUCUUGCCGUUUUUCAUUUUAUCAAAGAUAAAGAAGUUCAGUUUGCCUGAACUGUCUGAUAUGAUAUUCCUGUGCUUGUUCCUGCCCCCCCAUCCUCCUACUUUUUUAGGUGUUCAAAAACUCCUUAAAGCUUUAUGUCCAUAUUUUAGAGUUUUUUCUCUUCUCUAAAAUGUACGUUUGGGAUAUACAUUUUAUUUUUGGGUGGGAAAGAUUUCAGAUGUUUAUGUACACUAGCAGAAAUUCCUGAAAGACACAUUGGAAACUUGCUUGUUCUUUAGCUUGGGUCAACGCACUGUUGCCAGGCAUUUUGGUCCCCUUUUUUAUUUAUUUUUUCAGAAUGCGUCCGGCAGCAAUCAAUGACAAGUGGAGCACACAUAAUAAGCAGAAGUGCAAUGGCAGAUGCUUUAUAGAGAAUCCCCUAUGUAUCUUGCAUGUACAAACAAGUCAAACGGCUUCCUCGUAUAACAGAUACUUCCGGCUGCAACCGGAAGUGACUUUCACCCGGCUUCUCCCUAUGCAUUGCGUCACCGCUCGUGUGAGUUUUUAUACAUUUUUAAUCGUUGGUGUGACUAGACCCGUAGGUUUGAGGUCAGAGGCUUGGCACACAGUUUGCGUGGAUGGUGAAGCAUGAUUAAAGAAAUUGCCUAUAUGGGUCUGCAUUGUGUUUGAGCACUUUAUGGACUUUUUUUUUGUAUUUGCUUCUUUAUGAUCUUAAUACUGAGUGAGGAGUUUUUUUGCACUGAGCAUUUUGCUAUUGAUCACUGUUGGCUACAUUUUAUACAUUGUAGAUUUAUUCAAUUGCAUGUUUCUAUUGAAGAAAAUUUGCACUUUAUCAGUCUAUAUUGUCUGAAGUGGUGGUGAUUUCCGUCUACCCUAUUUGUGCCCUUUUUUUUCACCUUGCAUCUUUAUUCAGACAUUUGAAACAUUCUUGGGGCCUUCCAGUGUGUCCUCCCUUUAUCAUAAACCUCUCCUGCAAUAUAUCAUCUUAAUAAAGUUCCCUUGGAUAAAUAUUACCUUGACAUGUGAUGGCAAAUGAUCUCUGGAUGUCAAAAGGACAGUAUGCAUUUUGGAUGUCUUCACUAGGAGUUUCCUGGAAGUCUAGUUAGAAAUUGGUUUGACCUUCACUUUCCGUUCAAGCUGCCAGGUAUUCUCUACUUUUUCUCCGUGUUUUUCAGAAUGCUUUUAGAAGCUUUUGAACUGCAAUGAAGCUCAACUGAGAGGAGGAAUAUACAACAUACAAGUACAAUGACAGAUGGUUUAUGGAGUAUUAAAUGAGUUGUCAUUUUGGGGGCUGUUAGAAUAUUUUUAUUGAUUGCUCUCAACACUACAUGGCAAUACAAGAUGGCUUAUACAUGAAAAUCUCAUAACCCCUUAAGAAGCUUGAAGAGUCCCAAUAUAAUCUUUGAAUGUGAGAUGUAUUUGUUUCCCCUCCAUGCAGGGGCCUUGUUCCUAUUUUACUAUGUUUAUAGACAUUGGAAACCUUCACAAAGCACCUUCAGUAUGCCCAUCUUUGUAAAGAUGCCCCCCCCUUCAGAUCUUUCUACCAGCAAAUGUUCCUGAAAGAUCGCUUUGAGAACUUUUUUGUUCUUUGGGUUUGGUGAGUUGCUAGAUAUCCUGGUAGUGUUUUUUUUUUUUUGUUUUUUUUUAGUAUAUUUCAGGAUGUAAUGGAAAGCAUGAGAUGGAAUGAAAAUGCGUUAGAGAGAAGUCCUAUGUAGUUUUGAUUUACAACUGAGCAGGUAGAUGUUUUUUUUCCUUUAAUCCUUCAGCCAUGCUGUUUAUAGCGGUUAAUUUUUGCCUAUAUUGCCUGAAGUGAUAUUGAUCUUUAGGAUGUCCGAUUUUUGUAUUUUUUUUUCUCCAUUUUUAGACUUCAGUAUUAUUCCUGGAGCCCCCUUCAGGAUAUUUGCCAUUUUUUAUCUCCUGAAAUGCACUUAGAUCACUGCUCUAAACCUUAUUGCCUUGACAAGUGAUGGCAGCUGAAAGUACAUUCAUGACCUUAUUUCUUCGGAUUUCUUCAUUAUUGGACGUUUCAGAUUACCCAUUUGGGAGCUGGUUUGUUUUAUUACAUUGUAGUUUCCCGGUAUGCUUGUCCCCCUUUUUCUGAAUAUUUUUCACAAUGCAUUCUGAAAAACACCAACUGCAAUAGAUAAAGAACUGAAAUGAAGAACUGACAGCACGCAGAAGACUGCAAGUACAAUGGCAGAUGCUUUACGGAAUGGUUCCGUUUUAAAAGGAUUGUCAUUUGAAUGUUGGGGUAUUUUUUGUGAUUGCUUUCAACAGAUCCCUCCCUGUCCAAUAGGAAGAUGCAUUUUCUCAGCACCACAAUAGUGAAAACCUCGAUAUUCCUGCAGAAGACUUCUGAGGCUCGGACAGUUAAUGUUUCUGUAAUGGCAUGUAAUGAAAACUUUAGCAUAUUAAGAAGUUUAGUGCAAUGGAUUACAUGCAUUUUUAAAAUUGCAUAGUUUUAUUUUACCCAUGAUGUAUACAGAAGAUCAAUUGUGUCCGAUUUAAUAAUAUGAUGUUUCUGUGCAUGUUCGCUUUUUUUUUUUUUUCUUUCCCCAUCUUGCCUCUUUUUGUUUUUCUUUCCCCAUCUUGCCUCUUUUUGUAGGUGUUAAACAAACAAACCAUCUUCAAACCCUCCCAAUUUGUCCACCGUUAUUGUAAGGAUUUCUUGUGGGAUAUACUUCCACACUUCCCAGAGAUUGUAAAUGAAAAACAUUUGGGAAAAGGGGCAGUCUUGGAUUUCAUCAGAUAUCUCUACUGGCAGUACUUCCUGAAAGGCACUUUUUUUUCUUUGAGUUGCUAGAUAUUCUGGUCCACUUUUUCAGAAUGCGUCGGAAAGCAUGAGAUAGGGAAUGCAACACUCGUAACAUGCAAGUACAAUGAUCGAUGCUUUGUAGAGCAGUCCUAUGUAAUUUUUGCAACUCAUCAGGUAGAUGGUUUUUCUUUUCAAAGCUUAUCCUGCUUUUCUUAAUGCCUCAGCCAUGCGGUUUAUAACAGUCAAUGUCGUCUAAAGUGUUUAUCUGGUUUUUGUCUGCAUUUUUUUUUUUUUUCUACCUUGCAUUUUCAGAAUCUUUCCUGGAGCCCCUUCUGUAUGAUCCACCAUUAUCUAUAAAAUGUUUUAUCUUCUGACACGCACCUCCUUAUAUUUUCACUUUUUAUUAUAAAAAAAUACCUUGACAAGUUGAUGGCAAAAGAAAGCACCUGCAGGAGGGAAAAGACAGACUUGUUUGAAUUUCUUUCACAGAUGUCUUCGCUACUAGAAAAUUCAGAUAAAUCAGUUGGGAGUUGGUUUGUUCAGGUGCAUUGCAGUUUCCAGGUAUUACAUUUUGUUCCCCUCAGUGUUUUCAGAAUGCAUUGUGAAGUUUUUCAGAAUGCAUUGUGAAGUGUUUUUAGCAACAGUAAAAAAAAAAAGUGCAAGUACACUGGCAGAUGCUAUAUGAAGUGGCCCGGAUGAAAGAUUUGUUUGGGAGUUUUUGGGAUAUUUUUCUGAAUUGAUUUAAACAGAUUCUUUAAGGAUCGGAAGACAGAUUAUCCGUGAAUCCCAGCACCCCUGUAGAAGAGUUUUGAGGCUCGGACAAUCUCCAUAUAUCUGUAAAUCCAGCAUUUAAUUGAUGAACUUAUUUUAUAUAUGAUUAUAGUUGCCAUUUUAGCAUAUCAAUAUUUCUUUUAUUAUGACUAUAAUCAGAUGUUUUUUAAUAAAUUGAUCUUGCCUCCUUUUUGUUUUAUCCAUGAUGCACUAUACAGAGGUUAAGUUUGUCUUUUUUUAAUGAUUUGAUAUGUCCUAUUUCUGUGUCUGCCUUUUUUUUUCUUCCCUCCCCAUCUUUUGUUGGUUGUUAGAAUGUCCAUUAUUUGUAAGGAUUUUUAUUUUGUCUACAUUGAGAUACUAAAACAUUUCCUAGACUUUUGAUGGCAAAUGAAAUUUAGAUUUUGGGUAGAAAGACAGGUUGUGUUUUUUGGGGUUUUUCAGAUAUCUCUACUAUAGCAGCUGUUCCUAAAAACUCAUACUGGGAAGUUUCUUGUUACCAGGCAUUGUCCACAUUUUCAGAAUACUUUAUUAAUCCAAAAGGUAAAUUACUACAAACGUGAGAUGAGAAAUUAAGCCUAUAGUACAAUGGCAGAUGUUAUAGAGAAUUAUAUGCAGUUUUUUCAAAUGUAGAUGUUUUACUGUUCUAACAUGGCCCUGUCUUUUCUUGAUGCUUUAACCGUGCUUUUUAUAGCAGUUUAGUUUGCCAAUAUUGUCUUUUGAUGUCCUAUUUUUAUUUCUAUGCUUCCAACCCUCAUCUUUUUUUUCAGUUUAGAAACUAAUUUAAACCCCCUCCAGUAUAUCCACCAUUACUUCAAUAUUUCUCCAACAUGUGAUGGAUGAAAUGAUGAUCUGGGUGGGAAAGAACAGUUUCUUUUGUUUUUUUUUUCUUUUGGAUUUUUUACAGAUCGUUUAAAUGUCAGAUACUCCUGAAAACCACAAACUUUUUUGUUCUGCUUUGGUAACUGUACACGUAUUCUGGUACACUUUUUCUCACUGUUUUUUAGAAUGCGUUGGAAAGCAUGAGAUGAAAAACCGAGCACAUGUGAAGUACAGUAGCUAUAAGGAAAAUAAACCGAGCACACAUGUUAAGUACAAUGGCUAUAGGAAGAUCAACUGAUGUUUUUUUUUUUUUUUUCUUUUCUUCUCCACUUUGGAUUGUUCCUGCUUUUUCCAGAUGUUUGUUACAGUGCUUUUUUAUUUUUUGCCAUUGUCCUGCCAUUUAUAGCAGUUUAUUUUGCCUAUAUUGUCUGAAGUGAAGAUUAAUCUUCAGAUGUCCAAUUGGUGUAUGUGUCUGCCUUUUUUCCACCUUACUUAUUUUUCAGACUUGAAAACAUUCCUGAAUCGCCCCUUCCAUAUGUCCAAAUUAUAAAAACCUUUAAAGCAUCCUGCUGUAAUGCACCUUUUUAUAUGGUUGCCCUGGAUAAAUAUUACAUUUAUGUGAUGACAAAUGAGUACCUUCAGGAGGGAAAAGAUCGUCUGUUUCGGUUUUCAAUUUCUUCACAGAUGCCUUCACUAGUAGAAGUUUCAGACAUUUGCAGUGAGUUUCCAGGUAUUCCAUCCCCCUUUUCUCAGUAUUUAUCAAUUGCCUGGUGAAGUAUUGUAACAGCGGUAACAUAUAACAAACACAAAGAUUGCAAGUACAACAGCAGAUGGUUUAUGGAAUGGCCCUGAAUGAAUUGUCAUUUUGGGAGUUGGGAAAUUUUCUGCAUUGAUUUCAACAGAUUCUUUCUGAUCGUAAGAUGGAUUUUCUGUGAAAAUUGCAGUCCCCCUGCAGAAGACUUCUGAUGCUAGGACAGUUUGCAUGGUUGGUGCCAACAAUUCUUUCACAUAAAGCUACCCCGAUGGCAGUUAUCACCUGUUAUUACCAAAGUGUAAUUGAAGAGGAGGUACUUUGUAUAUAAUUAUAGUUUACUUUUUAGCAAAUCAAUAUGUAGUUAACCUUUCUUGAUGUUUCAUGGUGCUUAUAGCAGUUUCAUUUACCCUUUAUUGUCUGAUGUAAUGACUAUCUUAAUGUCCGAUUUGUGUCGAUGUAUUUUUUUUUUUUUUUCCACCUUCAUUUUUUUUUCUCCAGAUUUUAGAAACCUUCCUGGAGCCCUUCAGUAUGUCCACCACAAUCAAGAUCUUUUCUAAUCUCGUAAUGCACCUUUUAUAUUGUUCCUUGAGAUUUUUAACUUGACAAGUGAUGGAGGGAAAAUGUUUUUGAAUUUCUUUGCAAUGUCUUCACUAGUGGAGGUUUCAGAUAAACCAUUUGGGAACUGGUUUGUUCAGUUGCAGUGAGUUUCCAGGUACUCUGUUCCCCUUGUUUUUUCUCAUGUUUUUUUUCCAGGUUAGUAAAAACAGUAAAACUGAGAUGAAAACCUGCCAACAGUCUGCAAGUAUGAAUUUUUUUAAUAACUUGUCCGGGUAGUUUUUGGGAUAUUUUCUGGAUUGAUUUCAACAGAUACUUGAUCGGAAGACUGUCCAAGAAAUUCUCAACAUUCCUGCAGAAGACUUCUGAGGCUCGGGACUAUCUCCAUAUCCACCUCUUAAAUUUUCACUGAUUUAAUAAAAAUUAUUUUGACAAGUUGAUGGCAAAUGAGAGAACCUGCAGGAGGGAUAAAGACAGUCUUGUUUGAAUUUAUUUUACAGAUGUCUUCGCUACUAGAAAAUUGAGAGAAACAAUUUGGGAGUUGGUUCAGCUGCAUUGCAGUUUCCAGGUAUUCCAUAUUUUCCCCUCUGUGUUUUUCAGAAUGCAUUGUAAAGUGUUUUUUUAGCUACAGUUAAAAAAAACUGAGAAGAAUUGACAUCACAGACUGAAAGCACACUGGCAGAUGAUUUAUGGAGUGGCCCCGCUGAAAGAAUUGUUUGGGAGUUUUUGGGAUAUUUUUCUGGUUGCUUUCAACAGAUUCUUGAGGAUUGGAAGACAAUUAUCCGUGAAUCUCGGCACCCCUGUAAAAGACUUCUGAGGCUCGGACAAUCUCCAUGUUUCUGUAAUUCCAACAUUUAAUUGAUAAACUUACUUUAUAUAUAAUUAUAGUUGCCAUUUUAGCAUGUCAAUAUGUAGUUUAGAAUGACUAAUCAAAUGGAUGUUUUUAAUUAGUCUUGCCUUUUCAUUUUGUUUUAUCCAUGAUGCUCUAUACAGAAGUUGUUUGUCUUAAUGAUUUGAUAUGUCCUAGUUCUGUGUCUUGGUUUUGGAGUAUUUUAAGGAUUUUCUUUUCGCUUUUGUCUACAUUGGGAUAUACUUCAACAUUUCCUAGACUUUUAAUGGCACAUGAAAUUAGAUUUUGGGUAGAAAAGGACAGGUCGUCUUUUGUAUUUCUUCAGAUACCUCUGCUAUAGUGGGAAUUCCUGAAAAACUCAUACUGUGAAGUUUCUUCGGUGAGUUGCCAUGUAUUGUUCACAUUUUCAGAAUAUUUUAAUAAUCCAAAAGGGAAAUUAAUACAAACGUGAGAUUAGAAAUGACGGAUAUGUAGUACAAUGGCAGAUGCUAUAUAGAAGUUCUAUGUCAAUUUUUUCAAUUAAUGUUUUACUUUUCUAACAUUGUCCUGUGUGUUUUUUUUUUUUUUUUUUUUUAUGCUUUUAAACGUGCUGUUUAUAGCAGUUUAGUUUGUCUAUAUUGUCAGAAUUGGUGAUAGUCUUUGGAUGUCCUAUUUCGUUUCUAUGCCUUACUUCUAUUUCAGAGUUUAGAAACACAUUGAAACCCCCUCCGGUAUAUCCACCAUUAUCGUAAAAUGUUUGAUCUCCAGCAACAUAUCUGUAUAUUCUCUUGGAUAAGCAUUGUUAAUGUAUUGGCAAGUGAAACUGAUAUCUGGGUGGGGAAAGGACGGUCUGCUUUUUGGAUUUCUUUACAGAUGUCUUUACUAGUGGAAGUUGCUAGAUGACAAGUUGGGACUCCUGAUUUGUUUGAGUAAGUUUCCAGGUAUUCUGUCCCUUUUUUGUUUUUUCUUGUCUUACUCAGUAUUUUUCAGAAUGCCUUGUGAAGUAUUUGAGACAUAAUCAAUGACAUGAGGCGUUAAGCACAACAGAUGGUUUAUGGGACUAACACUGUUUAAUGAAUGGUCAUUUGGAGGUUGUUGGGAUGCUUUUCUGAAUUGAUUUCAACAGAUUCUUGAUUGUAAAAUUGUCUGUAAAAAAAAAAAAAAAAACCUCAGCACCCCUGCUAAAGACUUGAGGUUCAGUCAUCAGAUUUCUGUAAUGGCUCUAUAAUGGUAAUUGAUGUGUUAGGUUAAAAAUGGUUAAAUAGUAACUAUAUCAAUCUAUAGUUUAGAAUGAAUAAACCAAUGGAUGUUUUUCCUUUUUUUAAAUUGGCCCUGCCCUUUCUUUGUGUUAGCCAUGAUGUGUAUAGAUGAAUUAAGUUUCCCUGUAUUUGAUUUCAUAACUAUGACUAUAAUGGUCCUAUUGUAGUGUUUAGUUUAAAAAAAAAAUUUAAAUAGGCAAUCAAACUUGACUCACCCUCAAUAUUCCAAUAUUGUGUACGAUUUUUUUCUUUUUACUCCUGUAAACAUUGAUCCAUCAAUAUUUCCCCAAUGUGUGAUAGAUGAAAUGAUGAUCUGGGUGGGAAAGAACAUUUUUUUUUUUUCUUUGGAUUUCUUUUACAGAUGUCUUAAAUUGCAGAUGUUCCAAAAAAAAACCCCACAUAAGAACCUUUUUGUUCUGCUUUGGUAAGUGUACAUGUAUUCUGGUACACUUUUUCUCAGUGUUUUUCAGAAUGCGUUGGAAAGCAGGAGAUGAAAAACCAAGCACACGUAAAGUACUAAAGCUAUAAGAAGAACUGAUCAGGUAGAUUUAUUCAUUUUUUAUUUGGAUUACUUCUACUUUUUCCAGAUGUUUGUCAUACUGUUUUAUAGCAGUUCAGUUUGCCUAUAUUGUCAGAAGUGAUGGCGACUUAGCAUUUUCUAUUUUUGUCUAUGCAUUUUUUUUUUUUCACCUUUUUUCAGACUUGGAAACCUUCCUGGAGUCCCUUCCGUAUGUUCACAUUAUACACAUUAUUAUCUGCUGUAAUGCGCCUAAAUUUCCCUGUGUAAAUAUUACCUCGACAAGUGAUAGGAAAUGCAAGUUCUUUUUGGAGGGAAAAAGACAGUCUGCUUUUAUUUUUUCAGAUGUCUUCGCUGGUAGAGGUUUCAAAUAGACCAACAUUUGGGAACCAAUUUGUUCUGUUGCAGUGAGUUUCGAGGUAUUCUAUACUUUUUUUUUUUUUGUUUUUUUUCUGUGUUUUUCAGAAUAUACUGUAGUUUUUUAAAAA